rnacentral:tRNA from 1 species
UCCGUUGUGGUCUAGUGGCUAUGAUAUUGCGCUUUCAUGGCACUGCAUGUAAGCUCCGCAAGGAUCGGGGUUCGAUUCCCCGCAACGGAG